AGAGAAGAUGUUCCCUUGUGAUCCUUGUUUUUUUUGGAUCGGGUGGUUCUGCGCUCUUUUAUGUUGCCUAUCGAUAUGUUGUUUAAGUUAUUGUACUGUUGUAAACAGGCCAAGACAGUCUCAUAGCUCAGCUGGUUAGAGCGCUACACUGAUAAUGUAGAGGUCGGCAGUUCGAGUCUGCCUGAGACUACAAAGGAGUCGAAAGACAGGCGAGAAGUUUAUCCUGAGUAAGUCCCUAUAGGGACGCAUCGAAGGGAUUCUGCCUGAGACUACAAAGUAUGUCGAGGAAAGACGGGAAGCCUGUGCUGAGCACGGUCGAAGUAAGUCUGCCUGGGACUACGACGUUCAUUUGAUUGAAAUAUUGAAAGGAAAUUCUAGAAGUUGAGUAGUAGUUGGAAGUACUGACUACUGACUACUAUGUACUAACUACUAGUAUAUGGGGGAUUAGCUCAGCUGGCUAGAGCGCCUGCCUUGCACGCAGGAGGUCAUCGGUUCGACUCCGAUAU
rnacentral:misc_RNA from 1 species